rnacentral:rRNA from 1 species
AACGAACGCUGGCGGCAGGCCUAACACAUGCAAGUCGAACGCCGUAGCAAUACGGAGUGGCAGACGGGUGAGUAACGCGUGGGAACAUACCCCUCGGUUCGGAAUAACUCAGGGAAACUUGAGCUAAUACCGGAUACGUCCAAGGUUUUAAUCGACCUUGGAGAAAGAUUUAUCGCCGGAGGAUUGGCCCGCGUCUGAUUAGCUUGUUGGUGAGGUAAUGGCUCACCAAGGCGACGAUCAGUAGCUGGUCUGAGAGGAUGAUCAGCCACAUUGGGACUGAGACACGGCCCAAACUCCUACGGGAGGCAGCAGUGGGGAAUAUUGGACAAUGGGCGUAAGCCUGAUCCAGCCAUGCCGCGUGAGUGAUGAAGGCCUUAGGGUUGUAAAGCUCUUUACCCGGGAAGAUAAUGACGGUACCGGGAGAAUAAGCCCCGGCUAACUUCGUGCCAGCCGCCGCAGUAAU